rnacentral:tRNA from 1 species
GGUCCCGUAGCUCAGCGGAUAGAGCAACUGCCUUCUAAGCAGUCGGUCCCAGGUUCGAUUCCUGGCGGGAUCA